rnacentral:rRNA from 1 species
UUCGACCUGAGCUCAGGCA